rnacentral:rRNA from 1 species
AGAGUUUGAUCAUGGCUCAGAGUGAACGCUGGCGGCGUACCUAACACAUGCAAGUCGUGCGAGAAACCUACCCUUCGGGGUAGGGAGUAAAGCGGCAGACGGGUGAGUAACACGUGGGUAACCUACCUCCGAGUGGGGGAUAACCUGCCGAAAGGCGGGCUAAUACCCCAUAAGCUCACGGUCACUACGGUGGCUGUGAGAAAAGGUGGCCUCUGCAUGCAAGCUGCCGNUCGGAGAUGGGCCCGCGGCCCAUCAGCUAGUUGGUGAGGUAACGGCUCACCAAGGCUACGACGGGUAGCCGGCCUGAGGGGGUGGUCGGCCACACUGGCACUGAGACACGGGCCAGACUCCUACGGGAGGCAGCAGUGGGGAAUAUUGGGCAAUGGGCGCAAGCCUGACCCAGUGACGCCGCGUGGGGGAUGAAGGCCUUCGGGUCGUAAACCCCUGUCAGGAGGGAAGAAUGUCUGGUGGGUUAAGAGCCCACUGGACUGACGGUACCUCCAGAGGAAGCCACGGCUAACUCCGUGCCAGCAGCCGCGGUAAUACGGAGGUGGCAAGCGUUACUCGGAAUCACUGGGCGUAAAGCGCGCGUAGGCGGGAAGGUAAGUCGGUCGUGUAAGCCCGGGGCUCAACCCCGGAAUUGCGGCCGAAAC